UACGUAGGGCGCAAGCGUUGUCCGGAAUUAUUGGGCGUAAAGAGCUCGUAGGCGGCUUGUCACGUCGGGGGUGAAAGCCCGGGGCUUAACCCCGGGUCUGCAUUCGAUACGGGCUAGCUAGAGUGUGGUAGGGGAGAUCGGAAUUCCUGGUGUAGCGGUGAAAUGCGCAGAUAUCAGGAGGAACACCGGUGGCGAAGGCGGGUCUCUGGGCCGUAACUGACGCUGAGGAGCGAAAGCGUGGGGAGCGAACAGG
rnacentral:rRNA from 1 species